UACGUAGGGGACGAGCGUUGUCCGGAUUCAUUGGGCGUAAAGAGCUCGUAGGCGGUUCGGUAAGUCAGGUGUAAAAACUCCAGGCUCAACUUGGAGAGGCCACCUGAUACUGCCGUGACUAGAGUCCGGUAGAGGAGCAUGGAAUUCCUGGUGUAGCGGUGAAAUGCGCAGAUAUCAGGAGGAACACCAGCGGCGAAGGCGGUGCUCUGGGCCGGAACUGACGCUGAGGAGCGAAAGCGUGGGGAGCGAACAGG
rnacentral:rRNA from 1 species